AGAGCUGGUCCAGACAGCAGAGAACCUCGCAGAGAAAACCUUCAUGGGAAGAAGUUGAGUGCUGCAGGUUACCAACAUGGAAAGGAUCCAUCAGAGACCAGACUCCUCUGGACCUGGACCUGGACCUGAACCUGAACCUGAACCUGAACCUGAACAUGGACCUG